AUAUCAAUAAGCGGAGGAAAAGAAACUAACAAGGAUUCCCCUAGUAACGGCGAGUGAACCGGGAAGAGCUCAAAUUUGAAAUCUGGCAGUCUUCGAUUGUCCGAGUUGUAAUCUAUAGAAGCGUUUUCCGUGCUGAACUGUGUAUAAGUCCCUUGGAACAGGGUAUCAAAGAGGGUGACAAUCCCGUACUUUACACAAUCAUCAGUGCUCUGUGAUACGUUCUCUACGAGUCGAGUUGUUUGGGAAUGCAGCUCAAAAUGGGUGGUAAAUUCCAUCUAAAGCUAAAUAUUGGCGAGAGACCGAUAGCGAACAAGUACCGUGAGGGAAAGAUGAAAAGCACUUUGGAAAGAGAGUUAAACAGUACGUGAAAUUGUUGAAAGGGAAACGAAAUUCAUGAAUCAUGUUUAUUGGACUCAGCCGUUCUUCGGUGUACUUCCUUUAAACGGGUCAACAUCAGUUUUGUCCGAUGGAUAAAGGUAGUAGGAAGGUGGCUCUCUCGGGAGUGUUAUAGCCUAUUGCUGCAUACAUUGGAUGAGACUGAGGACUGCAGCUUGCCUUUAUGGCCGGGGUUCGCCCACGUUCAAGCUUAGGAUGUUGACAUAUUCUCGAAUCACGAC
rnacentral:rRNA from 1 species